GAUGAACGCUGGCGGCGUGCCUAAUACAUGCAAGUCGAGCGAACGGACGAGAAGCUUGCUUCUCUGAUGUUAGCGGCGGACGGGUGAGUAACACGUGGAUAACCUACCUAUAAGACUGGGAUAACUUCGGGAAACCGGAGCUAAUACCGGAUAAUAUUUUGAACCGCAUGGUUCAAAAGUGAAAGACGGUCUUGCUGUCACUUAUAGAUGGAUCCGCGCUGCAUUAGCUAGUUGGUAAGGUAACGGCUUACCAAGGCAACGAUGCAUAGCCGACCUGAGAGGGUGAUCGGCCACACUGGAACUGAGACACGGUCCAGACUCCUACGGGAGGCAGCAGUAGGGAAUAUUCCGCAAUGGGCGAAAGCCUGACGGAGCAACGCCGCAUGAGUGAUGAAGGUCUUCGGAUCGUAAAACUCUGUUAUUAGGGAAGAACAUAUGUGUAAGUAACUGUGCACAUCUUGACGGUACCUAAUCAGAAAGCCACGGCUAACUACGUG
rnacentral:rRNA from 1 species